GACCGGGAUUGCGGGGUUGAAGUCACGUUAAUGCUGUGGAUUUAGAGAAAGUGGGCGGUGCCUUUGCAGACUUUGAAAUUCCCAUUGGCUCCUGGGGAUUGGUAGACUGCUGCCCACUGUUCACCUGCCCAACGGCUGCCCGCGGACGCCUUCCUAUCACUGCUGUCAUGUGUGGAAGCACAAGCACUGUGGAAGGAAGGCUUUAGAGGAAAACACAGAAUGGUCUCCUAGAUGCCAAAGACACACAUUUGCCGCGGGGCUGAUAUCAGACGUGCCAUUUGAGAGAACGGGGUGUUCUGAGUCUUUUCUUCUUCCUGCAUCAGAUGAAGAAGCAGUGUCAUCUCGGAGGAUGCGAAACGACGCCCUUUCCCUGUUUUCCAGGAAUAUGGGGCCUUCCAGGGAAUUAAGAAGGAUCCAAUCAGAGAGGGUUUGGUGGUUUUCAAAUAAGAGGCGGUGCCGACAGACCCUUGGCACGUAGGCCGUUCCUGGACGGGAGAGGAAAGGCCGCGGGGCGCUGCAGCCCUGGACAUUCUCCUGCACCCCCGGACGCUGUGGCCGCUGCCACUACUAAGCAGAGGGACUCCGGGAGGGUGGCGAUGCACCCGGUGGGGUCUCCUCUCCCACGACCUGGGCAGGUCGGUCCUAGGAUGAAGCGCUGACUUUGAACAAAGACAUCUGGCGUCUGUAGAGACCACGCGAGAGGGAAGAACCACACCCCUUUGGAAGCGUGUGAGCCCUGGGGUUGGCGUUGAGACCUUCCAGUGGGGGUCCCCGGGGAGAGCUAAUGAGUCACAUGGGUGUUAUUGCCAAUCUUCUUAAAGGGGAGCUCAGAGCUGGGCUCUGAGACUAGCCCGGCUGUUAGAAUCCCGUAUCCCUGUUAUCAGAAAUAACAGGGGUAAGUCACACGCUGCGGCCCUGCUGGCUGUGGUCGUGGAUGUGGGUUCAGCUCUCCAGGUUCCCCAGAGUGUGGACUGUUGCUCUGAACACCCCAUGCAGCUGAAAGCCGGCCUCUGUACACCGGCACCAAUUCAGUCUCGGAGACAGAGUUUGGGGUGAAGCAGAAAGAACGGCUUUAGUGCUUUGCCAGGCAAAGGAGGCCACAACAGACUAACACCUCAAACCUGUGUCCUCCCUUGAGAGGGGACAGCAAGGGAUCUUAGAGGUUUCGCUUGAAAACCAGGGCUGUGGAUAAGGGUCAGGGAGCCUGCAUUCUUCUCCCUCCAGAGAUGAUUUCAAAGUUGUCAAGGCUGCAGUCGGAUGGUCCGGUGACAGUUUCUGGCGUCGUUGGGGUUAUGGCAUCUUGACCUUCUCUCUGCAGUGAAGACUGCUUAUGAAAGGAAGGGGGCGUUAGGGAAUAUUUCAAAGGAGAAAAGCUACCAGAUUGCAAAGAAAAGAAGGAACAUCUGUGAAAGGGGAAUCGAGCAAGGGAGUAAAAUCAUUUAGGCGAAGCGGGUUGGCGUGAGUAAAGCUGAGCCCCGCAAAGGGGAGCGGCUUUAUAGCUGUAACUACAUUUCCUGAUCAUUAAGGCUUUUUUUUUUUUUUUUUUUUUUUGGCUGCCCUGCAGCAUAUGGAGCUUCCAGGCCAGGGAUCAGAUCCCAGCAGCAUUUGCCAUCCAAGCCGCAGCUGGGGCAACUCCAGAUCCUUAACCCAUCGUGCCGGGCCAGGGAUCAAACCCGCAUCCCAGCGCUCCCAAGACGCUGCCAAUGCUGUUGCGCCAUAGCGGGAGCUCCCUAAUCCUAAACUCUUGAGUCAGCCUUUUGAGAUUGAGGAGGGCCUGGGAGGCUAUGGGAAAAGCCUUUAAUUUCCAAAUGCAACACCAUAAAGGCUUGUACAGGGUUUCACCACACUGACCAGGAGUCUGUUGAUGAAGGUAAAUAAAACUGGCUUCCAAAUACA
rnacentral:lncRNA from 1 species